rnacentral:tRNA from 3 species
CUCCCUGUGGUGUAGUUGGCUAUCACGUUCGACUGUAAAUCGAAAGGUCACCGGCUCGAUUCCGGUCGGGGAGA